rnacentral:rRNA from 1 species
UACGUAGGCAGCGAGCGUUGUUCGGAGCUACUGGGCGUAAAGGGUGUGUAGGCGGUUGUUUAAGUUUGGUGUGAAAUCUCCCGGCUCAACUGGGAGGGUGCGCCGAAUACUGAAUGACUUCGAGUGCGGGAGAGGAAAGUGGAAUUCCUGGUGUAGCGGUGAAAUGCGUAGAUAUCAGGAGGAACACCGGUGGUGUAGACGGCUUUCUGGACCGUAACUGACGCUGAGACACGAAAGCGUGGGUAGCAAACAGG